rnacentral:rRNA from 1 species
GACGAACGCUGGCGGCGCGCUUAACACAUGCAAGUCGAGCGAGAACCAGGGCUUCGGCCCUGGGGACAGCGGCGAACGGGUGAGUAACACGUGGAUAACCUGCCCUCGGCACCGGGAUAGCCCGAGGAAACUCGGAUUAAUACCGGAUAGCCUUUCCGACUCUCGGGUCGGUUCGAAAAGGUAGCUUCGGCCUCUGGCCGAGGAUGGGUCCGCGGCGGAUUAGCUUGUUGGUGGGGUAAUGGCCCACCAAGGCUCCGAUCCGUAGCUGGUCUGAGAGGACGAUCAGCCACACUGGGACUGAGACACGGCCCAGACUCCUACGGGAGGCAGCAGUGGGGAAUCUUGCGCAAUGGGCGAAAGCCUGACGCAGCGACGCCGCGUGAGGGAAGAAGGCCUUCGGGUUGUAAACCUCUUUCAGGAGGGACGAAGCUACUCGGGUUAAUAGCCCAGAGGGUGACGGUACCUCCAGAAGAAGCCCCGGCUAACUACGUGCCAGCCGCCGCCGUAACAC